AGUCGUUUCUGAGAAGGGAGCCAACCUCUUCCAGUAAGAAAGUGGUUUCUACCUGUCUUUCCUGCCUGUGAGAUCCUUUGUGAAUGAAGGGGAACACGAGAAAGGGCAGUUUGUUGCUACAGUGAUUCAGAGAAAGAGGUACUGCUGCUGUGCAUGCCGCUGCUGCUGCUGCUGAUCUCGCUGGUGCUGCUGCAGCUUCAUGUAGCAGACUAUAGUGACCCAGUCAGUUGAAGAUUGUGGUGAAUGAGGCCAGCUAAAGUCUGAACUCCACUCACGGAACAUCUUGGAAGAUGUGGCAUCAUAUUCACAGACAGUGAAGAGUUCAACAUCAACGAAAAAAAGGCAGAGCACUAUGCAGCUACCCGGAGGGUGUUGAUUGAAACUUAGAUUACCCCCAAAUCACUGUUGAUUUGACUGAUGCUCCAGCUUUACCAGAGAAAAGAUUUCAAUUAAGGUCCCUUUAGAUGGAAUUUAAUGCGGCAAAAACCUUGUCAUCAGAAGGAUUAAUGCCUGCAUUAGCAUUUCCGCAAUAAAAUCAGAAGCUAAGUGGUGGAGGC